UACGUAGGGUGCGAGCGUUGUCCGGAAUUACUGGGCGUAAAGAGUUCGUAGGCGGUUUGUCGCGUCGUUUGUGAAAACCCGGGGCUCAACUUCGGGCUUGCAGGCGAUACGGGCAGACUUGAGUGUUUCAGGGGAGACUGGAAUUCCUGGUGUAGCGGUGGAAUGCGCAGAUAUCAGGAGGAACACCGGUGGCGAAGGCGGGAUCCUGGGCCAGUACUGACGCUGAGGAGCGAAAGCGUGGGGAGCAAACAGG
rnacentral:rRNA from 1 species